UGCAGGCAUAUUUUUCAAGCCUGCCCAAUGUCUCACAGUAACAUCACAAGCAUCAUGAAACUGAUAUAAGGAUUAAGGGUUCUAUAUGACACAAAUUAAUGUAUAUAUAGUUAAGCAAAAAUAUGCAUUUGUUCCAUAGCUCCGUCGUUAUUAUAAAUCAGAAGCUGAUGAUAGAUAGAAAUAAUUCUGUACAAUGAAAAGGAAGACAAAUGUGCCCAAAUAGGUAAUGAUUAGUACAUUAUGAUUCUGAGUGCAUGAUUCAUAUAACAUCAAUGUUCUAUAAGUCUAGCAAUUUCAAAUACAUAUGUCAUAUAUUGAAUAUUAUCACCCCUCUCAAUAUUAUGGUCCCAUGGCCAAUAUGUGUACUGAAGUCUGUGUAAUAAUUAAGUGUAGUAUGCCGCUCGCUGCCGAUGGCAUUUGGACAUACAGUCAUACCGUUAAAGGCCAUAAGGCUUCGAAGUGAAGGCGGUGAGCAUAUAGUCAUAACCACAACUAUUUGUAUUUGGAGAGUAUAUUCCUUAAUAUUUCUGUGGACGAAAUAUGUGUUAAAUACAUUGUAUGUGCACAAGAAAUUCGCCAAAAAGGACUGGUUGAUCAGUGUUGUUCUGUGACUGUGUGGGGUAUCAUAGAAACGUUUACAUCCGAAACUUACAAUAGGUGAAGGGAAAAGAUCUUGGGCCGUUACAACAGUAACAAACUAACAUUAUUGUAGAGAUAUCCUGUUGAAACAAUCAGGGGACAUUGUUAUUGGCUUCAAUUGCAUAUUAACGCGAGAAUCAAAGCAACAUUCGAAAAUAAAUUUCGGUCAGUUGCAUGUUUUCCUGAGUCAGGGUGCAUGGUAUAUUGGUCCGCAAAGUUUCUCGCUGUGCCCUUUCUACAUACAUUUACAUGGUAACCACAUGACUGACAAGAAUUGUCCCUUGUAUUGAAUUCCUCUUAUUUUAUUAUAGCCAUAUGCAAUGCCAAUGGGGUUAAAUAGCCAGUAAAUAUAACAUGCAUAUUGCAUUCGAGUAACAGCCGGUUCGUCAGUUUUGAAUUUUGUAACUGUUAUUGUUGUUAUCAGACCAUUUAAAAUUCAUCAUAACCAUUACUCAUUAGCACGUAUACCGACGGUAUAGUCGAGUUUACCAAGACUGAAUAGUAUCGCAUCACAGGCAUUGCUAUUUGGUAAUUGGUCUUUGUAUUGUCCUGUGAAGGAAUGAAUGUCAUUCUAUAAAUGCAAUGUUUGUCCUGCAGUCCAGAACAACAGUGAUUGCAGCAGAUGGACUAUGUCUAUUAUAUAUGACAUAUGUACAAGGUGUUUAGCCUAUGGCUAUGCCAUGUUAAACAGAUAAUGAUUCACAAAAUAGGAUAGUGCAACUUCCCAAUGCCAAUGGUGUGUUGUUAUUGUUAUUGUUAUAUGAAACAUUGUCAUUGAGUACCAGACCGCUCUACUGUUCCAGUCUGGCCUGAUUUGUUUGGCUUGAAGCGGAGAUUGGGUAUAUUUCCAUACAUAAUGACCAGUGAAUAUUCUACACUGCUGUUCUUAAAUUCAAGGCAUAGCAAAUUACUAAUCUUUAUACUUUAAUACAAAUUGCUUUGGCUAUACAAAAAGCCCCCAAGAGGUUAAGAUAAUGUCCAAUUUUGUUCUCAGGGAACAAGAUUAGCCUCCAUGCAGAUUUGCAGACAUUAACCACACCUUCAAUUCUAAUCAGGAAUUGAAAUCUGAUCCCAGUAAUGCUAAUGCAUGGUUAAAUAAGCAGGUACAAACUGUACAAUUCAGUAAAUUUCUCAUUGGCCUGGUC